AAAACCCUAGCCCAUUAUUUCUUCUUUUUCGCUCCGCACCCUCCCCAUUCCCAAAUCCUUUGUCUCUCCCUCACCAAAUGAUACCCUAACCUCUUCUCCCUCUCCACGACACAACUUCUUCCUUCUCCCUUCUCAGAUUCUUCUUCUAUUCUUAAAGUACUGCUCAUGUCGUUCUCGAUUUCAUAUCGGCUGUAUCAUUUUCCAUUUCAUGCAAUUCAUGUCGUUCUCCCCUUUGUCAUUCGUCGUUCGUUGUUCAUCUCAUUAGCUCUCAAUCAGUGCAAGCCGUUCAUUGUGGGUUGUGGGUUCUCUCAAUUAUUUGGAUUUUAGGACAUGCAAUCUUGCUAUAGUCAUAUUUGGGUGUGUAAUUUUUUGAUAUGUGUUGAAACUUUCAGGAAUGUAAUUUUGUUUGACUUGUUUGUGUACACAAAUUUUUUUUUUUAAAUUUUUCUUGUAUUAAUCAACUUUAGGCUUUUAUUGUUGAUUUGUUUGAUUUCAAUGGAAGAUUUGAAUUGAUUGGCUUGUGAUUAUUACUAUAGUCAAGUAUUCAAUAUGAAAGUUAAGAUGAUUUGUGAUAUUUGAUUGGUUUUGUUUGUUGUGAACUGAAUUAUGAAGAAAUUUCAAUUUUCUUCCAUCCGAACCUAAAUGAUAUUUU
rnacentral:lncRNA from 1 species